rnacentral:rRNA from 1 species
CAGCAGCAGCCGCGGGAAUACGUAGGGUGCAAGCGUUGUCCGGAAUUAUUGGGCGUAAAGAGCUCGUAGGCGGUUUGUCGCGUCUGCUGUGAAAUCCCGAGGCUCAACCUCGGGCUUGCAGUGGGUACGGGCAGACUAGAGUGCGGUAGGGGAGAUUGGAAUUCCUGGUGUAGCGGUGGAAUGCGCAGAUAUCAGGAGGAACACCGAUGGCGAAGGCAGAUCUCUGGGCCGUAACUGACGCUGAGGAGCGAAAGCGUGGGGAGCGAACAGGAUUAGAUACCCGCGUAGUCCCUGUCUCUUAUAA